rnacentral:rRNA from 1 species
UACAGAGGUCUCAAGCGUUGUUCGGAUUCAUUGGGCGUAAAGGGUGCGUAGGCGGCGCGGUAAGUCGGGUGUGAAAGUCUUGGAGCUUAACUCCGAAACUGCAUUCGAUACUGCCGUGCUUGAGGACUGGAGAGGAGACUGGAAUUUACGGUGUAGCGGUGAAAUGCGUAGAUAUCGUAAGGAAGACCAGUGGCGAAGGCGGGUCUCUGGACAGUUCCUGACGCUGAGGCACGAAGGCCAGGGGAGCAAACGGG